AAUCCAUUUACGGAUACCUUCGAUCAACAAUAGUAACUAGAUUUCGGGUCGGUGCAUAAAAUCCGUCUCGUCAAAUAGCAGCGCACUUGAAAUGUGAGCUCUUAUUUUGUUUAGUUCACUUCAAACACAGCCAAUGUCAACCCGUCUCACAAUACCGCAGUGUGUAUUCAAAAGUUGCAAAAAUAAGGCCCGAAAAAGCAAUUUAACGGCCGGAGUAUCUUACUUUCGCUUUCCUAGCAAUCACGUGUGCAGAAUGGAUCUCGAUUGUCGCCAGAGAAAAAAGAGAUGACUUUUAUAAGCCAGCUAAGAACUCCGCUUAUUGACACUGGACAUCUUUGCCUUCCGAGCUCACGGCUACUGAAAUGUGGCCGAAACAUUGUAAUAAAAAUACCACGCUUGAAACCGUUUAAA